rnacentral:misc_RNA from 1 species
GCAUAGACAAGGAAAGAUGGAAGUUGCUGCUGUGGCCAUGCAGAUGAAAGGUGCUGCUGGAGGAUAUGAUAUUAAGACCAUGGAAGUAAGAUGGGCAACCACAAAAGAUUAUGGGAAGAGAUUGUCAUCGAAGUUAAAAUCUAGAAGAAUUCCCAUUUACAUAUCUACAAAUCCGUCUGACAUAAACCCACAGGACCUGAGAGAACUCUGCACAACCUGCAAUCACUCGUGCCACCGGUUUCCAGCGAUCGACCAUAAUGGAAAGCUAGUAGAAGCAGUUGAUUUGAAGAAGCUUCGCCUUGCUCUCUCCCACAGCUCUGUUCUCGUCUCCGUCUUCUGCAAUUUACAGGAUGCAGUUGUUGAUAAUAACCAGC